rnacentral:lncRNA from 1 species
UGCCACCAAAGGGACCCCUCAAAGCAGCCUCGGGGUGCUGGCCAAGAUGGAGAGCAGGGAGAGCAGCCACGGGACACACAGAGAGCCACAGGCUUGGCGAGGAGGGAGCAAGCAGGCUGGCUUCCAGUUAGCCUGGAGAAGAGCCAUGGCUAAAGGAGGAAAAGGUGGUGGUGGUGAUGACAGAAGGUCUUGUCAGAGUGGAGGAUCACACAGCUUUUGGAAGUCACCAUCAGAAUUUCAUCCGUUCGAUGGAUCACAGUUCUGAAGGCACAGAUGUAGCAUAAUGGCUGAAUCUACAAAGAAAUGUGGUGUAAUUGGGAAAGAAGCUAUGUGCCUGUCACUGCAGAGAGCCUGCAAAUAGACCUGAUAAAAAAUUGCCAGCAAGUCAUUUCUCAAGAAAAUAACCUUCUUCAUUAAAAAUCAGAAAAAAGUACUUUUCUGUGUUUCUUCCUUUCACGAAAAAUAUUUAUUUAUUUAUUUCACUUUCUAUUUAUUUUGGACAAAAGCAUCAGGGAGUGGGAAGCAUCUUUUCCAAAAGAGUUCAUUUUCAAAUCUUGGAUCAAGGAUCUCUUGCACCAAAGAAGGGUACCGAGAUAUCUGCUGCACAGCCAACAACCUGCCAACCCCACGUCCAGGUCCUCAUAUAUGGUGAGGAUGUGACAUAUGGCUCAGAAUACCACUUCUCCCUGGUAAAACACAACCCUGAGAUUCACCUCCCAAAAUACUAAAUUAAUUACAAGGCUGAGGUGGAGUAUGCUUGAACAGAAGUCACCUUAUAUCAUUGGUGCCUAACGACACAAAAGACCCAGCUCAUUUUUGCUGCUCUUCUCGGCUCCAGUGGUUUAUUUUAAGCUGGGAAUUAAAGCUUUCCAUCUCAUACCAGCAAACACCUGCUGUUCUUUGAUAGCAGGGCCACUCUCCUGUUUCAAUGCCAAAAGCUGCUGUGGGAACUGUUGGCUGCGUGGUCUUAUCAAGACAUUUAUUGUGGAGCUCCAUGGUAAGUGCACAGGCCAAAUGUGAUUGCUAAUUCAGUAUCUCACCUUGCUUCGAGCUUCCUCCCUGUUGCCUUCACCUGGUCAUGGUCUUUUUCAUCUAAGCUGUAUCAGUUAAUUACAAUGGGGCAAAAUACAUAUUCAUGUGUUUAGGAAGUAGCUUAGCACCAAGUGUGUUUUCUGCAUCUCACUGAAAGUUAAUGGCCAUGAACUUCAUUGUCUGGAGAAUUUAU